rnacentral:rRNA from 1 species
CUACGGGACGCAGCAGUGGGGAAUAUUGCACAAUGGGCGCAAGCCUGAUGCAGCCAUGCCGCGUGUAUGAAGAAGGCCUUCGGGUUGUAAAGUACUUUCAGCGGGGAGGAAGGGAGUAAAGUUAAUACCUUUGCUCAUUGACGUUACCCGCAGAAGAAGCACCGGCUAACUCCGUGCCAGCAGCCGCGGUAAUACGGAGGGUGCAAGCGUUAAUCGGAAUUACUGGGCGUAAAGCGCACGCAGGCGGUUUGUUAAGUCAGAUGUGAAAUCCCCGGGCUCAACCUGGGAACUGCAUCUGAUACUGGAAAGCUUGAGGCUCGUAGAGGGGGGUAGAAUUCCAGGUGUAGCGGUGAAAUGCGUAGAGAUCUGGAGGAAUACCGGUGGCGAAGGCGGCCCCCUGGACGAAGACUGACGCUCAGGUGCGAAAGCGUGGGGAGCAAACAGGAUUAGAUACCCUCGUAGUC